GGGGUGGGUGCUUGUUUUCUCUUCAACAGGUAUUUGGCACAUUGAUCUCCGCCCAUAGUGAGAGACUUGAAGAGGUACCCAGUCUGUAAGUUUGCAACAGUAAUAAUACACUUAAUUCUGUGAGUCUGGUUGCUUGCUUUUAUGUAAGGUAAUAGUCUAGAUAGUUACCUUUGGUUGACGUGGGGGCAUUUAAAUGUGGGAUAAGCUGUUUGGUUCCUCUCCAGCAGGUGUUGUGUGACGAGUUGUGUACUGUGGCCCGUUAGGAAUUGGUAACCAACUUUGGACAACUUGAAAGAGGAGUAUCGUAGGGGGAUUUAGAGCCAAUCGUGAGGUAACAGUUAGAUUGGCUACUUUGUGAGUAUGUGGCUUUGUGUUUAAUGAACAUCACAGAUGUGUGUUGUCACCGUGAGCAUUAGUUCAUGGGGUGACAGGCUAUUAAUUCUCUGGUUGCAGGAAUAUGCUGUAGUGUGUUAUUAGAUGUAAAGGAUGCAAGUAGUAGCCUUCUUGAAGACAAUCUUAGUGAACAUGCAAAUGGCUCAUCAGUAAGCUAAAGGUGUGUACAAGGAGCGACUGUGAAACUGACAUCUGCGGAGUACGACGAUGGAUGCAUUUGGCGGUAUGAGGGAAGAAUGGGAACAAAGUUCCAUUGCGGCAUUUGACUUGCGACAGGUUCGAGAUUACUUGAGAGCACUACUAGAACAUAGCAUAUAACCGGAUAGAGGUAAUGAUAUAAGUUUGUUUAUUCAUUGUGAUUUUUAGUUUUGGAAUCGCCAGUGAGGACUGGUUGUGGUUUUUCUGUCGUUAGGGGUGUUUGGACCUGUCACAGAUUGCUGUGGCAGGUGAGAGCGUUUCAUGACUUUCUAAUUGCAGAUGCUGUAAGAGAAUUGGCCUUUGAUUGCCAGGAUUAACUGCAUUUCGUGGAAGGAUUUUCUCCCAGCGAACAUGUAAGCCUGUAUAAAUUUGUUAUGCCAAAUUGAUGUAAUUGUGCAACUGCUAUAGGUAUGCUGCAAACGUGCUAGAAUUAUAUCAUUAAAAUGAUUUGGUUGGAUAUAGUGACUCCUUGCUAUGCAGCUGGGUGGGUGUGGAUGUUUGUGUGAAGUGUGUUGCAGGAGCAAGCAGGAUUAUAUUUUGUGCAUGUUGGAACGUGACACGGCAGCCAAAGGAUGUGCGAAAGGAUGGCAGCUGCUUUGUAGUAAGCCUACUCAGUCAUUAAUGCAUGCAUCCACAUAUCUUCUGGUUAAAGCCAAGUCAUGCGAUUGGGUGGAGAUAGAAGAAGUCUGCCCUUGUUAUAGUGUAUGGCAUAUGUGGCAUUUUCUGAUUGCAGGUUAGCCGAAUAGCUUAUGUAGCUUAUUGAUUGUAUAUUGAACAGUUUUGAAUCUCUGUGUGGAUGUCACAACAGGCACAGUACGUAAUUAUGUUUUGUAAUGGCAGUGGAUAAUACAUGGUUCAUUGUGACACUCGCUAAGAGUGUCAAAUGAUUGGAGAAGCUAAUUUUGCAUUAUGGGGUGUUUCUUUAUUGAUUGGUGAAAUUGAGCACUGUUGAUUUGUCUGCAAUGGGUGGGUGCUUGUUUUCUCUUCAACAGGUAUUUGGCACAUUGAUCUCCGCCCAUAGUGAGAGACUUGAAGAGGUACCCAGUCUGUAAGUUUGCAACAGCAAUAAUACACUUAAUUCUGUGAGUCUAGUUGCUUGCUUUGAUGUAAGGUAAUAGUCUAGAUAGUUACCCUUGGUUGACGUGGGGGCAUUUAAAUGUGGGAUAAGCUGUUUGGUUCCUCUCCAGCAGGUGUUGUGUGACGAGUUGUGUACUGUGGCCCGUUAGGAAUGGGUAACCAACUUUGGACAACUUGAAAGAGGAGUAUCGUAGGGGGAUUUAGAGCCAAUCGUGAGGUAACAGUUAGAUUGGCUACUUUGUGAGUAUGUGGCUUUGUGUGUUUAAUGAACAUCGCAGAUGUGUGUUGUCACCGUGAGCAUUAGUUCAUGGGGUGACAGGCUAUUAAUUCUCUGGUUGCAGGAAUAUGCUGUAGUGUGUUAUUAGAUGUAAAGGAUGCAAGUAGUAGCCUUCUUGAAGACAAUCUUAGUGAACAUGCAAAUGGGUCAUCAGUAAGCUAAAGGUGUGUACAAGGAGCGACUGUGAAACUGACAUCUGCGGAGUACGACGAUGGAUGUAUUUCGCGGUAUGAGGGAAGAAUGGGAACAAAGUUCCAUUGCGGCAUUUGACUUGCGACAGGUUCGAGAUUACUUGAGAGCGCUACUAGAACAUAGCAUAUAACCGGAUAGAGGUAAUGAUAUAAGUUUGUUUAUUCAUUGUGAUUUUUAGUUUUGGAAUCGCCAGUGAGGACUGGUUGUGGUUUUUCUGUCCUUAGGGGUGUUUGGACCUGUCACAGAUUGCUGUGGCAGGUGAGAGCGUUUCAUGACUUUCUAAUUGCAGAUGCUGUAAGAGAAUUGGCCUUUGAUUGCCAGGAUUAACUGCAUUUCGUGGAAGGAUUUUCUCCCAGCGAACAUGUAAGCCUGUAUAAUUCUGUUAUGCCAAAUUGAUGUAAUUGUGCAACUGCUAUAGGUAAUGCUACAAACUUGCUAGAUUUAUAUCAUUAAAGUGAUUUUAUUGGUUAUAGUGACUCCUUGCUAUGCAGCUGGGUGGGUGUGGGUGUUUGUGUGCGGUGUGUUGCAGGAGCAAGCAGGAUUAUGUUUUGUGCAUGUCAGAACAUGACAUGGCAGCUGAAGGAUGUGCGAUAGGAUGGCAGCUGCUUUGUAGUAAGCCUACUCAGUCAUUAAUGUGUGCAUCCACAUAUCUUCUGGUUACAGCCAAGUCAUGUGAUUGGAUGGAGUUAUAAGAUCAUGAUCUGGACUCACAGUGAAGAACAACUCUAGAAUUUCCUCUUCAACCUCAACUCCUUUGGUUCCAUCAGAUUCACCUGGUCCUACUCCAAAUCCCAUGGCACUUUCCUUGACGUUGACCUUGACCUCCAUCUGUCAAAUGGCCAAGUUCACACUUCCGUCCACAACAAACCCACCAACAAGCAACAGUACCUCCAUUUUGACAGCUGCCACCCAUUCCGUAUGAAACGAUCUCUUCCCUACAGCUUUGGUCUUCGUGGCAAACGAAUCUGCUCCAGUCCUAAAUCCCUGAACCAUUACACCAAUAACCUGAAAACAGCUUUCGCAUCUGGCAACUGCCCUCCCGACCUGGUACAGAAGCAAAUAACCAGAGCCACUUCCUCAUCCCCUCAAACGCGGAACCUCCCACAGAAGAACCCCAAAAGUGCCCCAUUUUUCACAGGAUACUUUCCAGGACUGGAUCAGACUCUGAAUGUGGCUCUCCAGCAGGGAUACGAUCCCCUCAAAUCCUGCAUGCAGUGAGAUGCAUCCUUCAUGAAAUCCUCCCCACUCCACCAAGAAUGUCUUUCUGCCGUCCACCUAACCUUCGUAACCUCUUAGUACAUCCCUAUGAAAUCCCCAAACCACCUUCCCUACCCUUUGGCUCCUACUCUUGUAACUGCCCCCGGUUUAAGACCUGUCCCAUGCACCAUCCCACUACUAACUACUCCAGUCCUGUAACCCAGAAGUUGUACACGAUCAAAGGCAGAGCCACGUGCGAAAGCACCUGUGAUUUACCAACUGACAUGCCUACACUGUGUAGCGUUCUAUGUAGGAAUGACCAGCAACAAACUGUCCAUUCGCAUGAACGGACACAGGCAGACAGUGUUUGUUGGUAAUGAGGAUCACCCUGUGGCUAAACAUGCCUUGGUGCACGGCCAGCACAUCUUGGCACAGUGUUACACCGUCCGGGUUAUCUGGAUACUUCCCACUGACACCAACCUAUCAGGACUCCGAGGAUGGGAACUUGCCCUUCAAUAUAUUCUCUCCUCCCGUUACCCACCAGGCCUCAACCUCCGCUAAUUUCAAGUUGCCGCCCCUCGUUCCUCACCUGUCAUUCAACAACAUCUUUGCCUUUGUACAUCCACCUCGACUGACAUCUCUGCCCAACCUCUUUACAUUUACAUAUGUCUGCCUGUGUCAUGUGCGGAUGGAUAUGUGUGUGUGAGUGUAUACCUGUCCUUUUUUCCCCCUAAGGUAAGUCCUUCCACGCCCGGGAUUGAGUUGACUCCUUACCCUCUCCCUUAAAACCCACAUCCUUUCGUCUUUCCCUCUCCUUCCCUCUUUCCUGAAGAAGCAACCUUAGGUUGCGAAAGCUCGAUAUUUGUGUGUGUGUGUGUGUGUUUAUGUGUUUUUUAUUGUCUCCUAUCAACUUACCAACGCAUUCGUUUGGUAAGUUACACCAUCUUGGUGUUUUAUAUAUAAUUCACGCAGCUGUGUUUGCAAGAUGAUGGAAUGUAUGACUCAUGCGUGGCUGGUAUGGUGGCUUGUAAUUUACUAACCACUGCACAAUGUGGAUUUAAAGCGCACAAUUUUGCAGUUGACCAUCUCGUCACUUUGUCCACCCGUGUCAUGAAUGGUUUUCUGUGGAAAUCCCAGGCUGUGGGCGUUUUUCCAUUUGGAGAAAGCUUAAGACACCUGCUGAAGGACUGAUAUCAUCCUCCAUACUCUCUACAUGUGGGGCUUCUGUGGCUGCCUGCCCCAUUUUCUUCAGGAAUUUUUGAAAAGACCGAGUUUUCAAAGUAAGUAUGGGUUCUGCCUUGUUGGGCACCUUUAUCCAGCAAAAUGGUGUGCCUCGGGGUUCCGUACUGAGCAUCAUCAUCUUUGCUAUCGCCAUUAACCCUAUAAUGGCCUGUCUCCCACCGGGCAUCAUCUCCGGCUCCCUUUUCGUUGAUGACUUUGCUAUCUAUUGCAGCUCUUCACAGACUUGUCUCAUUGAGCAGCAUCUUCAGCAGUGUCUUGCUAGUCUUUACUUAUGGAACAUCGACAAUGGCUUUCGUUUUUCCACUGACAAAAUCAGUGCAAUUGGUUUCUCCCAUCAUCUCUACAUCUUGGGCCUGUUGCUCAUCAAAACUACGAAAUUCCUUGGGCUCCUGUUCGAUAGGAAAAACUCUUGGUUCUCCCACAUGUCUUACCUGACAGCCAACUGUCCGUGGUCCCUCAAUGUCCUACAUGUCCUCAAUGUUACUUUCUGGGUGCUGAUCAAACCAUCCUCCUCCUUUUGUACCGGUCCCUUGUCCAUUCAAAAAUAAACUGUGCAUGCUUUGUUUAUGCAUCUGCCCAUCCAUCCCUCCUACACUGUCUUAAUACUGUUCACCGUCGUGGCCUCCAUUUGGCCACUGUCAUCUUUUAAAUUAGCCCAGUUGAGAGUCUGUAUGCAGAAGCUGUCGAACUUUCAGUUGAGAGUCUGUAUGCAGAAGCUGCCGAACUACUAUUGUCCUGCCGCCAUGACUUUCGCCUCAGUAGGUGCGCGUGCCGUUUGUCUGCCAUGCAUGAUCACCUAUCAUAUGCCCCCUUCUUCAAUGACUCCUUGAUCGCCAGUACGGGCGCGUCCCUGACAGGGAAUAAUGCUAAAACUUGUCUUGGAAAUCAUGGAAAUAUCAGGGAAUUUCACGUGGGGAAACUUGUGGCAACCGUGAUUUGGCUGGCAUGCAGAACUCUGCCCGUUGUGAGAGACUUGAAGAGCUGCCCGUUUGGUAAGUUUGUAACAGUAAUAAUAUUAGAUACUUUGUUGUAAGGUAUUAGUCUAGAUAGUUACCCUUGGUUGACAUGGGGGCAUUUAAAUGUGGGAUAAGCUAUUUGGUUCCUCUCCAGCAGGUGGCGUGUGGCGAGUUGUGCACCGUGGCUCUUAGGAAUUCCUAAUCAAAGUUGGACAACUUGAAAGGAGAGCAUGGUUGUGGGAUUUAGAGCCAGCCAUGAGGAAACGAUUACAAUGCUGACUUUUUGAUGCACUAUUAGUAAAGGGAGAAAGUAUGAGCCUUCUUGAAGAUGAUGAUACUGAACAAGUAAAUGUGUCAUCAGGAAGCCAAAGUUGGUUAUUAAGAGGAAUUGCUAAAUGCGACAUUUGCCCAGUAUGACCAUGGAUUUAUUUGACAGUAUGAGGGAUGUAUGUGAACAUAGUUCCAUAGGAAUAUUUGACUUGAGACAUGAUAAAUUUCUUGCGAGUGCUACAAGAAUGAUAGGUAUGGCUGAGGAGAGUGGUGGUUGGGCCUGUCACGGACUGCUGCAAGGAAGAAAUUUUUCUCUUUCUAAUUGCUAUGCUCAUAUGAUGUAACGAGCUUUAUCACUAAAGGCCUCAAGAAAUCUAAUUUUCGAGAUGGGAUAAAAGCAUUGAAACGUCACCGAACCAAGGGUAUUAGUGUAGUGGGAGACUGCCUUGAAAAAUAAAAAAAUUUUCACUGAGGUUCCUGUAUUAUGUCCUGAAAUAAUAUCUUGUGGGCGACAGAAAUAGUCCCAGUUCCAUUUUUUGUCGUGGAGUGUCAUUUAACAUGUUGAAAUCAACUGUCCAUAUUGCCUUUUAAUCAAAGCUGUAACAUUUGUAACACUGCCUUCAGUUGUUAUUGUUGAUAUUUUACUGUGUUUGGAAAUUGUACCUCCAUGCCUUAUGGAAAUAACUUCAUUAAUGUUAAUUAAGCUUUAUUUGUUAGUAAUUAAUUUUAAAUGUGUAAUUUUGUCAUUUGCUACUCUUGUUCAUUAUCAGGUUACAUGUGUGUGAAACUUUGUAGAUUACAUUAAAGAUAUGUCUGAAGAAAAGUUAAAGCAAUAAAUUUUUUUAGUAAUUGUA